ACACGGACCAAGGAGUUUAUCGUGUGCGCAAGUCAUUGGGUGUUGAAAACUCAAAGGCGCAAUGAAAGUAAAGAAUCCGCAAGGAUACGACGUGUGAUCUGAGCAAUCACGAUUGCCUGGAGCAACAUGGCCCCAUUCUGGUCGCUUGCGACGGGGUGGAGGAAGAGCGUACGCGGUGAGACCCGAAAGAUGGUGAACUAUUCCUGAGCAGGAUGAAGCCAGAGGAAACUCUGGUGGAAGUCCGAAGCGAUUCUGACGUGCAAAUCGAUCGUCUGACUUGGGUAUAGGGGCGAAAGACUAAUCGAACCAUCUAGUAGCUGG
rnacentral:rRNA from 1 species